UGAGGAAUAUUGGUCAAUGGGCGGAAGCCUGAACCAGCCAAGUCGCGUGAGGGAAGACGGCCCUAUGGGUUGUAAACCUCUUUUGUCGGGGAGCAACAAGGCCACGAGUGGUCGAAAGUGAGAGUACCCGAAGAAAAAGCAUCGGCUAACUCCGUGCCAGCAGCCGCGGUAAUACGGAGGAUGCGAGCGUUAUCCGGAUUUAUUGGGUUUAAAGGGUGCGUAGGCGGACAUGUAAGUCAGCGGUAAAAUGUCGGAGCUUAACUCCGGCCGGCCGUUGAAACUGUGUGUCUUGAGUGAGCGAGAAGUAUGCGGAAUGCGUGGUGUAGCGGUGAAAUGCAUAGAUAUCACGCAGAACUCCGAUUGCGAAGGCAGCAUACCGGCGCUCAACUGACGCUGAAGCACGAAAGCGUGGGGAUCAAACAGG
rnacentral:rRNA from 1 species